rnacentral:tRNA from 2 species
GCCACUGUAGCUCAGUGGUAGAGCACUCGAUUCGUAAUCGAGCGGUCGUCGGUUCAAGUCCGACCAGUGGCU